GGAAUAUAAGAACCCGUCUCUUAAUUUUUAACUAAAAAAAUUAAGAACCGGAUUCUUAACUUUUUUUUAGUUAAAAGUUAAGAGACAAGUUAUUAUAUUUC
rfam:Brassica rapa chromosome A1, whole genome shotgun sequence.